GGGAAAUGAGCUUUGAUUCAAAACCAGUGUGUUUCUAGCCAUUUUGUAGCUGUGGAGGAAACACUGCUGUUGUAUGGUCGAAAGGCUCUGGAACCAGAAGCUGAAGGAUAACUUGCAGUUAUUCACACCCGGGCUGAGCUGCUGGCAUGCCUGCCUUUCCGUGUACUUCCUCAGAACCUGCGUGUUACGACGACCAGCUGGAAGUUCAGACCCUUUGUGUGUUUAAAAAGCUGUUGUACCUUUCUCCUUGGAUUGUUAGCUACCUAAAGAGCUGGCAAGUUGUCUGUCAUUUCUCAAAACUCGGCUCCCCAAUUCGCAGAGCAGUGCCACCACAAGCUGCACUUACUCUA